UUCGCAGCCGGCUUCAUGUCGGUAUUGUACGCUACCGCUGCACACAGGCAGAUCAUGCACCGACAACAAAAAACUGCUAUCGAAAACAACAACCAGCAAUUCUACUGGACAAACCACCACUUCUUCUAUUUCCACUUCUGCCUCUGAAAACAAACUCAACCAGCAACAAGAGCUUCAGCAACAACCGCAUGGCAAACGAAGUUUGAACCACAUCGACAUCACUGCUGAGGAGAGAUCGCCACCACCAAAAAGAAAGGACGAUAAAAUCGUUUUGGCGGCUGAACCACAGACCACGCAGAACGAAUUCUCUACCGAUGAUGAUGACGGCAACGUGAUGGAGACGAACGAGUCAGAUGAAGAAGAACCCGCAUGCGAUGACACGGACCGUUGGAUAAAUUGGUUAAUAAACAAGCAUAAGAAAAGAAAUAGUAAAGCUGAAUUAAAUUGUAAAAAUGAAAUAGAAAAAUAAAUACGUUCGACCCGAAUGACUCAAAUCGAGUUAAAGGGUCGUUAAUAAACUAAAAAAAAAAAAGCACUGAUGGACCAUACCAUAUCUCAUCAGCACUGGUUCGAUAUAAACAAUCCGAAGAUCGUCGAUUGUACAUACAAUACGCAAUCCCUUCCAACACUAGAGAUGUGCCAGAUACGUGGUACAGCACACACGGUUAACCGCCGCACCGAUACAGUUGGCCUUAGUGUGGCAUACAGCUACCUUUUAUCGUGUGUACAAAAUUUAAAAACAGAGAGAUCCUCCCGACCCCAAACUGACUCCGAGAGAAGAAUAUCUCUUGAAAUUGAAUAGAUUAUACACCCAUAAGCUACAUAUACACCCAUACUAACCUAUAAUUCAGAUAGUGAGCCAUACUCAAACCCGGUGUAACUAGUGCGAAACCUCUAGAUUAGUAUUUUGAAUAACCCUAAUCCAAAUCCUCCAGACCGUUGGAAAAGCCAAACACAAUUAGAUCGAUGCCCGUUGUGGAGAAGAAGCAACCCUUUCAAUACCGACUUUUUCACUUUUUGCAAAAUUAUGCUGAUUUGUUGAUUUAAUAUCGAGCCCUGAAGAAGGUCCACUCCCGGACCGAAACGUAGGCGAAGAUAACAAAGUAAUCAACGCAAUCGUUUUAAUGACUGUGAAGCCGAAAAACUAGUUAUAGUAGAAAUAAGAUAAUAAGGAUUCUUAAGAGAAUUUA